AUUGAACGCUGGCGGCAGGCCUAACACAUGCAAGUCGAACGGUAGCACAGAGAGCUUGCUCUCGGGUGACGAGUGGCGGACGGGUGAGUAAUGUCUGGGAAACUGCCUGAUGGGAGGGGGAUAACUACUGGAAACGGUAGCUAAUACCGCAUAACGUCGCAAGACCAAAGAGGGGGACCUUCGGCCUCUUGCCAUCAGAUGUGCCCAGAUGGGAUUAGCG
rnacentral:rRNA from 1 species